rnacentral:rRNA from 1 species
UACGUAGGUGGCAAGCGUUGUCCGGAUUUACUGGGUGUAAAGGGCGUGUAGCCGGGCUGACAAAUCAGAUGUGAAAUCCGGGGGCUCAACCCCCGAACUGCAUUUGAAACUGUUGGUCUUGAGUAUCGGAGAGGCAGGCGGAAUUCCUAGUGUAGCGGUGAAAUGCGUAGAUAUUAGGAGGAACACCAGUGGCGAAGGCGGCCUGCUGGACGACAACUGACGGUGAGGCGCGAAAGCGUGGGGAGCAAACAGG